rnacentral:rRNA from 1 species
GAGUUUGAUCCUGGCUCAGAACGAACGCUGGCGGCGUGCCUAACACAUGCAAGUCGAACGGGAUUAGGGGCUUGCUCCUAAUCUAGUGGCGCACGGGUGAGUAACGCGUAGAUAAUCUGCCUGACGAUCUGGGAUAACACUUCGAAAGGGGUGCUAAUACCGGAUAGGCCCACGGAGUCUUUGGACUUUGCGGGAAAAGGGGGGGACCUUCGGGCCUUCUGUCGUCAGAUGAGUCUGCGUACCAUUAGCUAGUUGGUAGGGUAAUGGCCUACCAAGGCAACGAUGGUUAGCGGGUCCGAGAGGAUGAUCCGCCACACUGGAACUGAAACACGGACCAGACUCCUACGGGAGGCAGCAGUGAGGAAUAUUGCGCAAUGGGGGCAACCCUGACGCAGCGACGCCGCGUGGAUGAUGAAGGCCUUCGGGUCGUAAAAUCCUGUCAAGUGGAAAGAAGUGCAUAGUGGCUAAUAUCCAUUAUGUUUGACGGUACCACUGAAGGAAGCACCGGCUAACUCCGUGCCAGCAGCCGCGGUAAUAC